GCCAGGGUGGCAGAGUGGACAAAUGCGGUGGCCUCGAGAGUCACUGUCCCUUGCGGGACGCUCAGGUUCGAAUCCUGACCCUGGCGC
rnacentral:tRNA from 1 species